rnacentral:rRNA from 1 species
AUUGAACGCUGGCGGCAUGCCUUACACAUGCAAGUCGAACGGCAGCACGGGUGCUUGCACCUGGUGGCGAGUGGCGAACGGGUGAGUAAUAUAUCGGAACGUACCUUAUUGUGGGGGAUAACGCAGCGAAAGCUGUGCUAAUACCGCAUAAUCCCUAAGGGGGAAAGCGGGGACCGUAAGGCCUCGCGCAAUUAGAGCGGCCGAUACCUGAUUAGCUAGUUGGUGAGGUAAAGGCUCACCAAGGCAGCGAUCAGUAGCUGGUCUGAGAGGACGAUCAGCCACACUGGGACUGAGACACGGCCCAGACUCCUACGGGAGGCAGCAGUGGGGAAUUUUGGACAAUGGGGGCAACCCUGAUCCAGCAAUGCCGCGUGAGUGAAGAAGGCCUUCGGGUUGUAAAGCUCUUUUGUCAGGGAAGAAACAGCAGCUCUAACACAGUUUGCGAAUGACGGUACCUGAAGAAUAAGCACCGGCUAACUACGUGCCAGCAGCCGCAGUAA